rnacentral:rRNA from 1 species
CAAUAGCGUAUAUUAAAGUUGUUGCAGUUAAAAAGCUCGUAGUUGGAUUUCUGGUUGAAGCGACCGGUCGGGCGUUGAUUCGUCUGCACUGGAGUCGGUUUUGGCCAUCCUCUAGGAAAGUGCGUCUGGUAUUAAGUUAUCGGGCGUAUGAUCCUGGUCUUUUACUGUGAAAAAAUUAGAGUGUUUAAAGCAGGCCUUCGCCUUGAAUACAUUAGCAUGGAAUAAUAAGAUAGGACUUUGGUCUAUUUUGUUGGUUUGCAGACCGAAGUAAUGAUUAAUAGGGAUAGUUGGGGGUAUUUAUAUUCCGAUGUCAGAGGUGAAAUUCUUAGAUUUUCGGAAGAUAAACUUAUGCGAAAGCAUUUACCAAGGAUGUUUUCAUUC